rnacentral:siRNA from 1 species
CUGAAUGGUCUCUGAAUUGUC